GUUGAGGCCAGUAAGCGUUCUAGAGCGCCAAGGUCAGAGUGGGAAGGUCGUGUCAGCCCUAGGAGGUGUAAUGUCCUUCUCACAGUACCCCAGGGUCUCUGAUAUUCCAGCUGGGCCCUGGAAUUGAAGAGAAUGAUGUGACCGACAGAUGGCCAAAGUGGGAAGAGGCGCAGGCCAAAUGUCAGACAAGCACCAUGUCUCCACACUGGUCUUGGACCUGUGUGCACGCUCAGAGCUGACUGAGAGGACCAGACACCUGCAUGGGCAUAGCACUGCCUGAGAGGCAGUGAUGGGGUGGCCUCCUUCAGGGUGCAGGGCUCCAUUUUCAAAUGCUGCUUCUGUAAACGUCUAUGGGGGUGCUUGCCUGUUCUCUCUCACCCUCAACACACAGCAAGUGUUUAUACAAAGCCUUGGGUGUCGCUGCCUGCCACCAACCCUGGAGAAAUGGCAGGACAUCUCCUGAGACCUGUGAUUCCAGCCAUGCCAGAAGCCUGUCUUAGCCUCAUGGAUAAGUCGACAAAGAGAUGGGGUGUCCAGAAAACCGCAGGCUAAUAGUCAAGAACCAAACUCCCUUUCUGUACCUAAAAAGGCUAAAAUUAUGAAAAAAUGGAGACAGGGUGGUAGUCAUUCUGUUUAUUGUAAUGUGACCACUGUACAUUGUAGUCCCGCUCAAAACAUCACUCUGUACCCCGUAAAUAAUUAUUUGUGUCAGUUAAAAUUUUAAACAGCCUUUGUAGAUAUUUAAUAUCCACAUGUGUAAUGGAUGAUACAUUUGAAGUGGAUACCUACCUAGGCAGGCUCUUCCUACCUCCCCAGGUCAGCUGAAGCCACAGUGAAAUUUUCAUAUUGCACAUGAACUUUGAAUGUUAAAUUGUAUAUUCACUUAAAUAUAUAUAAUUUUU
rnacentral:lncRNA from 1 species